UGGCCUACGGGACGCAGCAGUGGGGAAUAUUGCACAAUGGGGGAAACCCUGAUGCAGCAACGCCGCGUGAGUGAAGAAGUAUUUCGGUAUGUAAAGCUCUAUCAGCAGGGAAGAAGAUGACGGUACCUGACCAAGAAGCCCCGGCUAACUACGUGCCAGCAGCCGCGGUAAUACGUAGGGGGCAAGCGUUAUCCGGAUUUACUGGGUGUAAAGGGAGCGUAGGUGGCAGGGCAAGUCAGAUGUGAAAACCCGGGGCUCAACUCCGGGAGUGCAUUUGAAACUGUCAAGCUAGAGUGCAGGAGGGG
rnacentral:rRNA from 1 species